UACGAAGGGAGCAAGCGUUGUUCGGAAUGACUGGGCGUAAAGGGUGCGUAGGCGGUCAUGUAAGUGAGAUGUGAAAUCUUUGUGCUUAACACAAAAACUGCGUUUCAUACUGCAUGACUAGAGCAUGAUAGAGGAAAUGGGAAUUCCUAGUGUAGAGGUGAAAUUCAUAGAUAUUAGGAGGAACACCAGAGGCGAAAGCAAAUUUCUGGGUCAUUGCUGACGUUGAGGCACGAAAGUGUGGGGAGCAAACAGG
rnacentral:rRNA from 1 species